AACGGCGAGUGAAGCGGCAAAAGCUCAAAUUUGAAAUCUGGCUCCUUCGGCGCCCGAGUUGUAAUUUGCAGAGGAUGCUUCGGGCGUGGCCGCGGUCUAAGUCCCCUGGAACGGGGCGUCGCAGAGGGUGAGAAUCCCGUCUUCGGCCGGCCGGCUUCGCCCAUGUGAAGCUCCUUCGACGAGUCGAGUUGUUUGGGAAUGCAGCUCUAAAUGGGUGGUAAAUUUCAUCUAAAGCUAAAUAUUGGUCGGAGACCGAUAGCGCACAAGUAGAGUGAUCGAAAGAUGAAAAGCACUUUGAAAAGAGAGUUAAACAGCAUGUGAAAUUGUUGAAAGGGAAGCGUUUGCGACCAGAGUCGGCCGCGGGGGUUCAGCGGGCAUUCGUUGCCCGUGCACUCCCCCGCGGGCGGGCCAGCGUCGGUUUCGACGGCCGGUCAAAGGCCCCCGGAAUGUGUCGCCUCUCGGGGCGUCUUAUAGCCGGGGGUGCAAUGCGGCCAGUCGGGACCGAGGAACGCGCUUCGGCACGGACGCUGGCUUAAUGGUCGUAAGCGACCCGUCUUGAAACACGGACCAA
rnacentral:rRNA from 1 species